AUGCCUGUCAUCCUCCAGCUGAGCAAGCCCAAGGGCAUGCUUGUCAGUGUGGAGGGCAUGCUUGUCAGUGUGGAUCCCGUGCGGGGUGUACUCUCUGGGUUUUUUUUUGUUGCUCUUUUAAAAGGUGUCCAGUGUGAGGUGCAGCUGGUGGAGUCUGGGGGAGGCUUGGUACAGCCUGGGAGAUUCCUGAGACUCUCCUGUGCAGCCUUUGGAUUCACCUUCAGUAACUCUACAUGCACUGGGCCCACCAGGCUCAAGAGAGAGGACUGGAGUGGGUAAGUUUAAUGAGAAAGAAAGCUAACAGUUACACGACAGAAUAUGCUGUGUCUGUGAAAGACAGAUUUACCAUCUCAACAGAUGAUUCAAAGAACACACUGUACCUGCAAAUGAACAGCCUGAAAACCGAGGACACGGCAGUGUAUUACUAUGCCAAACACACAGCAAGGGGAGGUCAGUGUGAGACCAGACACAAAACUCCCUGCAGGAGAGAGCGAGGCCACCAGGGGGCGCUCGGGACUCACUGA